rnacentral:rRNA from 1 species
CACGUAGGCGGCCUGUCAAGCGUCUUGUGAAAUCCCUCGGCUCAACCGAGGAAUGGCUGGGCGAACUGGCAGGCUUGAGGCAGGUAGGGGCACACGGAACUCUUGGUGGAGCGGUGGAAUGCGUAGAUAUCAAGAGGAACGCCGGUGGCGAAGGCGGUGUGCUGGGCCUGUCCUGACGCUGAGGUGCGAAAGCCAGGGGAGCGAACG